rnacentral:rRNA from 1 species
GACAGAGGGUGCAAACGUUGUCCGGAAUUACUGGGCGUAAAGAGCUCGUAGGUGGUUUGUCGCGUUGUUCGUGAAAACCUGAGGCUUAACCUUGGGCGUGCGGGCGAUACGGGCAGACUGGAGUACUGCAGGGGAGACUGGAAUUCCUGGUGUAGCGGUGGAAUGCGCAGAUAUCAGGAGGAACACCGGUGGCGAAGGCGGGUCUCUGGGCCGUAACUGACGCUGAGGAGCGAAAGCAUGGGGAGCGAACAGG